GCCCUGCACUAGCCUCGAUGAAAUCUGGGCCGUACAUUCCUAGAAGCUCUGCAGAAAGGUCCUCACCAUUCGGGGCAGAAUCGGAACCGUAGAAGACGCAGCUACUUUGCUCUCCUUCUCUCUCUUUCCGCCCUCUUUAAAUACUCCAAACGCGAGCGAGAGUCCGAGAGAGCGAAAGAGAAAUUCCACACAGCGAGCAAGAGAGAGAGAGAGAGAGAGAGAGCCAUGUCUGGAGGUAUUGCUCGCGGUCGCCUUGCUGAGGAGCGAAAGGCUUGGCGUAAAAACCAUCCGCAUGGUUUUGUCGCGAAGCCAGAGACUCUGCCAGAUGGUACGGUCAAUUUGAUGGUGUGGCAUUGCACUAUCCCUGGAAAGCCUGGUACUGAUUGGGAGGGUGGUUACUUCCCACUAACGCUCCACUUCAGUGAAGACUACCCUAGCAAGCCCCCUAAAUGUAAAUUCCCGCAAGGUUUCUUCCACCCUAAUGUCUACCCAUCUGGAACUGUCUGUCUUUCUAUUCUUAAUGAGGAUAGUGGGUGGAGACCAGCCAUAACAGUGAAACAAAUUCUUGUGGGCAUUCAGGAUUUGCUUGACCAGCCAAAUCCUGCUGAUCCUGCGCAGACAGAAGGGUAUCACCUCUUCAUCCAGGAUGCUGUGGAGUAUAAGAAAAGGGUCCGGCAGCAGGCCAGGCAAUACCCGGCUAUUGUGUAAGAUUAGAUCGCUAUGGACAUUUUCAGUGGCAAUCACUUGUUUGAUGCUUAAAAUGCUCUUUUAAGAGAUCGUCGGGAUUUGGUAAAUCAUUGGCAUGCUGAGGCACUGUUUCAUCAACAGUUGCAAAAGCGGAGACCAUUUCAUGCCAGCCACAUAGAUGAAGUACAAUUUACAGAUAAAUCUAAAACUGAGAAAGAUGCCAUCUUAUUGGAUAAUUGAAUAGAACUGUUUCAUGGCAAUUUUUCUCACUGAUUUGUAUUCUUGAAUAUACUCUUCUAAAGCCAAUCUCUUUUGCUGCGUA